rnacentral:rRNA from 1 species
UACGUAGGAUGCAAGCGUUGUUCGGAAUUACUGGGCGUAAAGAGUACGUAGGCGGUUUGAUAAGUCUGAUAUUAAAUACAGAAGCUUAACUUCUGAACUGUAUCGGAAACUGUCAGACUAGAGGACAAUAGAGGAAGUCGGAAUUCUCAGUGUAGCGGUGAAAUGCGCAGAUAUCAGGAGGAACACCAGCGGCGAAGGCGGCGCUCUGGGCCGGUACUGACACUGAGGAGCGAAAGCGUGGGGAUCAAACAGG